CUCUACCGCGAUAGCCAAUCAUAAGCGAACGAGGCCUCAGCUUCCCGCGUUCUCUCAGACUCUAGCUCCUGCGCACGCUCGCUAGACCUGGGACUUGCAGCCUUGCAGGCGGGCAUCCUUAAACCUCCUCCUGCAGCUAUGCUUUCAGGUCUGCACAGCAGGUGCCCAGGAGAAACUCUACCUUGAAAGCAAGCGUAGUGACCCAUGCCUGAAAGCCCAGCUCUGAGGAGGUGGGAGUAGGAGGAACUAAAGUUCAAGGUGAGAACCUCAACUCAGUACCAUCUGUGGAUACACAGUCAGCUGCCGGUCUGAGCUCCCCAGACUGUAAAUUAUCGCUUAGAGGGAGUGAAAGACCCGGAUAAAUCCAGACCCCUCUAGCAGAAAGAA